rnacentral:misc_RNA from 1 species
AACGCACAUUGCGCCCUGUGGUAUUCCGCAGGGCAUGCCUGUUCGAGCGUCAUUACAACCACUCAAGCCUGGCUUGGUAUUGGGGUUUGCGGUUCCGCAGCCCCUAAAAUCAGUGGCGGUGCCGGUGUGGCUCUACGCGUAGUAAUUCUUCUCGCGAUGGAGUUCCCCUGGAUACCUGCCAGAACCCCCCAAUUUUUACAGGUUGACCUCGGAUCAGGUAGGGAUACCCGCUGAACUUAA